GAGGGGUUCGCUGCCCGGCCGAGGUGUGCGCGUGUUCAGGAGCUGCCGGGCGGCCACCGGGGCGAGGUGAGCUCCUGCUCCGACGAGGAGUGCUCGUGCUGGCGUGGGACGGGCGGCGGCGUACCGAAAUACCCGUCUGCCAGGAUCGCCGGAGGACGAGCGAAGGGAGGAGGGCGGCCGUGCUCAGGGAAUAUGUUUUAAGCUACUGAUGUCAAGAGUGGAUUUUUAUUAUCAAGAGAAACCAGGUGUUGUUUUCAAAGCAGCAACCAAUUCCUUGCGGACAGCAACGUUGCUGCGGACAGCGUGUUCCUAUUUUUAAGAACAUUCUGAGUCCUAAGAAUGCAUCUGCAAAAUGCCAGGCCCUGUAAGGAGUAACCCAGGGGAAGUGAAGAGCACCAUUAUUAGUGAUACAGAACAGUGAAAAACACAGAAUAAGGUACUGAAUAGCAG
rnacentral:lncRNA from 1 species